rnacentral:rRNA from 1 species
GAUGAACGCUGGCGGCGUGCCUAAUACAUGCAAGUCGAGCGAAGCGGGGACGGGUGAGUAACACGUGGAUAACCUCCUAUAGAACUGGGAUACCUUCGGGAACCCGUAGCAAAACCGGUAACUUAUCAAUUGAUCCGCGCUGCAUUAGCUAGUUGGUAAGGUAACGGCUUACCAAGGCAACGUGGCAUAGCCGACCUGAGAGGGUGACCGGCCACACUGGAACUGAGACACGGUCCAGACUCCUACGGGAGGCAGCAGUAGGGAAUCUUGCGCAUUGGGCGAAAGCCUGACGGAGCAAUGCCGCGUGAGUGAUGAAGGCCUUCGGAUCGUAAAGUACUGUUAUUAGGGAAGCGGUACCUAAUCAGAAAGCCACGGCUAACUCCGUGCCAGCAGCCGCGGUAAUAC